GAGUCGGUUCAGUGAACAGAUUCGUAUACAAAUGAGUGUCAGUUUCGAUUCGUUUAAAAGCUAGAAGAGCUGUACAACUCCGUUUAAAGUAAGGAAAUUAUUAAGGGAUACAUUUUACCGUGGAUGUGUAAGCAAACGGGACAGUAUUUUGUAUCACAUGAACAGAAUUUCGCUGUCAUAAUCCCGAAGGCAGAUCAUUUUACACCGGUUAAUGAUGAACGGACCGAAUCUAUACAGUGCGGUGGUCGCUAAAGGAGCUCCACCGUCAUCCGAUACACAACCAAAAUCUGGCCUGUUGAAUCUGAAGAGAUCACUUCUGGAUCUGAUGGCUCAAUACCCUGAAGGCAUCAGUUUAAGUAAAGCCCGCAGAUCCUGUCCGCUUCUCCUCGACUCAGAAGUAUUGAAUGGCUUUGGUUCGGUCCGGCAGCUCUUGGCAUCCAUGCCUGAUGUGGUGACGCUGCAUGGACUCGGGGUCCAGACGUUCCUUCUCCCGGCUGGAGCUAAACUAUAGUAUAAGACACAUCUGAAAGGUUUUAACAGAGAUUCUUCAAUGAAAAAAACUAAACGGAAAACAAAUGUAAUGCUUAAUGAACAAAGCAUUACUGGAAAUGCGAAAGCUGUGAUCUCUCCAAUGUGGCCUGGAUGAAAACACACAUCAGCAGUAAUAAGAGGACCGGGAUUUUUUCAUACCACAACAUUUGUAAUCGUUUAGUAGUGUAUUUUUAAAAUAUUUGAUUACACUUUAUAUUAAGGUGUCCUUGUUAAAAUGUAAUGAUUUAACAAAUUACUGAGUAAUUUUAAUUAAAGGUGCAGAAGGUGAUUGUC